rnacentral:rRNA from 1 species
GACAAGUAUAUAAAGAAACUAUUAUGGAUGGUUAGCUAUAUAUUUCAAGAUAUUUAUAUCUAGGGAACAAUAUAAACUAGAAAUCAUAGAGAAAUCUAAUUAUAAGACAAAGUGAAUUGAAAUAUCUUAGUAACUUUAGUAAAAGAAAUCAAACGAGAUUGUUAUUUGGUGUCUUCUGAAUAGCAAAAGCCUUAAUAAAUAAUUACUAUAUUUACCAAAUAUAGGUUAUAAUUGUUUAUAGUAAAUAUAUUAUUUAAUAUAUUUAAGUAUAACGGAAAAAAAUCUGUUGAAAAAUAGGGGAACCUUCCUCUAAGGCUAAAAAAAAUAUAUAAGCGAUAGAGUAACAGUACCGUGAGGGAAAUACCCUGAAAUAGUAGUUUUAUAAGCAGCUCAAGUUAAAAUUUAAAUAAAUAAUAAGAGCGUACCUUUUGCAUAAUGGGUCAGCAAGUUAAUUUUAGAUGCAAGUAACAUCUCUUUUAUAAGCAUUUACAUAUAGAACAUUAGACAUAAUGUCUAAUGAUAUUAUUUUAAUAUUGGUAUGUAAAUUUAUUAAUAAAAUUAGGAGGUAGAUACGCAGAUAAACCAAUUAUGAAAAAAUGAAUUAGUAUCUAGAAUUAGACCCGAAGGCUAGUGAUCUUACCAUGGUCAGGGUUAUAAAAGCCCGAACGGGUUAUCGUUGUAAAGAUAUCCGAUGAACUGUGGUAAGUUAGUGAAAGACAAAACUGACUAGUAUAGCUGGUUUUCCGCGAAACCUAUGUAAGUAGGUAAUUUAAUUAACAUCUUAGCAGGUACAGAACUGUGAUCUCGGACAAUAUCUAAGAUAUUUGUCAACAUCGGGGGGUUGUAGUGACUUUACCGGAGAGUAUUUGCACUCGGAAGGGCAAAGAUGAAUGUUAAAUAAUCGGACAUAGUGCGAUAAGGUUGUAUGUCUAAAGGGAAACAGCCCAGAACAAGAGUUAAGGUUCCAAAAUUAUUGUUAAGUGAAAUUAAGGAUGUUUUUUUUUAAAACAAUCAGGAAAUAGGCUUAGAAGCGGCCAUUUUUUGAAGACCUCGUAACAGAGCACUGAUUAAUAAAUUAGGAAAAAACGCCGAAAAUUUAACGGAUCUAAAUAAUAUACCGAAACCUUGUACACAAAUUAAAAUUAAAGCGCUGUGGCUUAGAUUAGAUGUUAAAUCUAAAUUUAAGCGCUGUGACUUAGGAUUUUUGUGGGGUAGCGGAACAUUGGAUUAAACAAAAUAUUAAUAUUUUUCUUAAAAUAUUAAAGAUCUUGCAUAAAGCUAUCUAAACUAAAUAUAUGAUUUAUUAUAUAUUGUGAUUGAUUAUUUAUUUAACUAUACUACAAUAUAAUAACUAAUUGAUUAUAUAUUUAACGAUAUAUUUUUAAAUUAGUUAUUAAGUGUGGGUUAUAUAGUAAAAUAAAAAAAGUUAGUAGUAGUAAAUAUAGUAGUUUAAAUAUUAUAUUACGAUUUAUGAGUAUCUGUUAAAUCCAAGAGAGAAUGCUGACAUGAGUAACGAAAAAGGCUUUUAGCCUCGCCUGAAGCUUAUGGUUUCAUCUAAAAUCGGUGUCUAAAAAAAUUAAUCAAAUGAUAAUUUUGAUGACGUUUUAUGCUUUUUUUAUAUGAUAAUACCAAAACCUUUAACAAGUAAUAAAGGUUCUGGAAAAGUUUAUUUUAUUAUUUGAAGUGGCAAAUAUUUAAUACUCAUACUUAUUGGUAUAAAAUUGUAAAUUAUAAUAUAUAAUACAUACUUAUUAUAAUAUUGUGAUUUACAAAUAUAAUAGAGUGAGUAAAAUAAUAAAUAUUUUUUAACCAAGUAAUAGUCUUUAUCUAUUAUAAUGAUAUUAUAGAUAAUAAUUAAUAAUUAAUUACCAUUAGAUUAUUAAUAUGUAUUUAUAGAUUAUAUAAUAAUUAUUAUAUAAAAUAUAUUUAUUAAAUGUUAUUAUUAAUAAUACUAUAAUAUAUAGAUUAAAGACAACUUUAUACUGGUAAAAAAAAUAAAAGAAAAAAAACAAUAAAUAACCGUACCUAGAAACUAACUCAAGUAAGCAAGUAGAGAAUACAAAGGCGUUUGAGAGAACAAUCAUUAAGGAACUCGGCAAAUUGACUCUGUACCUUUGGAAUAAGGAGGACCAUUAUUAUUAAAUUUAACAUAUAGUAAAGUAUGAAAUUAAAUAUGAAAAAUUAAAUUAAUAAUAAGAGGAAUCAUGAAAUAAUGUUGUACGACUGUUUAAUAAAAACACAGCACUCUGCAAAGAUAAAAAAUCAAAGUAUUGAGUGUGAUGUCUGCCCAAUGUCGGCUGGGUAACGGAUCUACCUUGAUUAUUAACUGAGGUUUUGAAGGACACCCCGAUUAAUGGCGGCCUUACCUAUGAGGGUCCUAAGGUAGCGAAAUACCUUGGCCGUUAAAUGCGGUCCUGCAUGAAUGACUUAACGAUGCAACAGCUGUCUCGAUGAUUGUCUCAGUGAAAUUGGAAUAGCAGUGCAGAUACUGUUUACCUCUAGAUAGACGAGAAGACCCUAUGCAGCUUUACUGUUACUAAUUAUAGGAGUGAAAUUUUAGGAUGAUUUAUAGUGUAUAAGGUAGUUGUUUAGAUAAUAAUGAAACACCUUUAUUCGAAUCCUUAUAUAUACUCUUAAUGAUUAGAAGGCAGUUUAUGCGGGGCACAGAUCCCACAAAAAGUACCUGGGUAUAUCCAAAGUUCAUAUUGUAAACUUGUAUAUUUAUAUACAAAUAUUUUAAUUUGUUCUAAUUAUUAUUAUAAUUAUACAGUUAUUAUUCGAUUAAAUUCCACAAUUAUUUUUUAUUUUAAGUAAGAUUUUAACUAUGCGGUGAAUAGAUGUAUUUUAAACUUUACUGGACUUUGUUCUAAUUUUAGUUCAAAGAUUUAAAAGUUUAUUUGUUAUAUUAAUAAAGUAUUUAUCUUUAUUAAUAUAAUGUUUAUUAAUACUUUAAAAGUUUAAUGGCUAAAUCUUGCUUUACUGUUUGACCUACAAGUCUAUCAGUCGCGUAAGCGGGGCAUAUGAUCACAAGAUGCAUUAAGGAAAGGUCUUGGAUUAUAGAAAAAGUUACGCUAGGGAUUUAUAACUGUGAGUCCUCCAAUAUUAUAAAAUAUUGGUAAU